rnacentral:lncRNA from 1 species
CUCACUGCAAGCUCUGCCUCCCGGGUUCACGCCAUUCAGGGGAGUGGCGCCGAGACACCGUGUAGCGCCCAUGCCAAGGAGGAAGCGAGACAGCAGGAGCGGAGGAAAGAACCCCGGGCUGUGUUGAGGAAGCCUCCUACUUUUGCCUGAAGUGAGGUCUCCUAUAGAGAGAAGCGUUGACUGGGGACACUCGCUGCUUGCGUUUUGCUGGUAGCUGGGCUGGAAGGUCCACAAAGGUUCACUUCAUCCUCAGCCUCGGAAGUCACACAGCGUCGCUUCUGCUGCAUCCUGUUGAUGAAAGCCAGUCCUGGAGUCAGCCCAGAUCCAAGGGGAGGAGGAAAAGACUCCAGGUCUUGCUGAGAGUAAUGACUAAGAAUCUGCAGCCAUCUCCAAUCCACCACGCCCAUGCAAGAGACGGGAGUGAUAUUUGCAACCAAGAUGGUGAACGGCAGCAGAUUGGUCACUGUUUCCAGUUAUUCACCAUCCCCUCAGUGAGAGGAUUAUCCAUCCUGCCCCAUUGCUACGUGACAUGCAGAGCAUCCAGUGCUGGGUACACUUCCCCUCCCCACCAAAUCAUGUUUGGCCACGUGACUUGCGUUAGCCAGUGAAUCCGGAGCCCAAGUCCUAGCAGGCCAUUCAAAAGAGAAGCUUCAAGAGCCAUCACGUGGGUUGGCCAGCCUGCCUGCACUUUUCCCUUUAAACAGAGCUGCGUUUUCUAGAGAGAGGCCUCACACAAGCCUCCCUGUUCCACAGAAUACAAAUCCAAUUGGUAAGUCUUCUAUCCAUCUUAAGAAACCUUUACAUUUUUAAAUCUCUCCAUUCUCAAAUAUUCAAAGCCCUUAAAUUCAUUUAUUUUUCUAGAAGUAACACCUGACAAGUUUGAUAUGUCAAGGCACCACCCGUUCCUUCUUAAUCCACAGGAACUCAUUGAGGGUAGGGAACCUGGGA